rnacentral:rRNA from 1 species
CCUACGGUGCGCAGCAGUCGAGAAUCAUUCACAAUGGGGGAAACCCUGAUGGUGCGACGCCGCGUGGGGGAAUGAAGGUCUUCGGAUUGUAAACCCCUGUCAUGUGGGAGCAAAUUAAAAAGAUAGUACCACAAGAGGAAGAGACGGCUAACUCGGUGCCAGCAGCCGCGGUAAUACAGAGGUAUCAAGCGUUGUUCGGAAUCACUGGGCGUAAAGCGUGCGUAGGCUGUUUCGUAAGUCGUGUGUGAAAGGCGCGGGCUCAACCCGCGGACGGCACAUGAUACUGCGAGACUAGAGUAAUGGAGGGGGAACCGGAAUUCUCGGUGUAGCAGUGACAUGCGUAGAUAUCGAGAGGAACACUCGUGGCGAAGGCGGGUUCCUGGACAUUAACUGACGCUGAGGCACGAAGGCCAGGGGAGCGAAAGGGAUUAGAUACCCGAGUAGUC